rnacentral:rRNA from 1 species
GAUGAACGCUGGCGGCGUGCCUAAUACAUGCAAGUCGAGCGAACAGAUGAGGAGCUUGCUCCUCUGACGUUAGCGGCGGACGGGUGAGUAACACGUGGAUAACCUACCUAUAAGACUGGGAUAACUUCGGGAAACCGGAGCUAAUACCGGAUAAUAUAUUGAACCGCAUGGUUCAAUAGUGAAAGACGGUUUUGCUGUCACUUAUAGAUGGAUCCGCGCCGCAUUAGCUGUUGGUAAGGUAACGGCUUACCAAGGCAACGAUGCGUAGCCGACCUGAGAGGGUGAUCGGCCACACUGGAACUGAGACACGGUCCAGACUCCUACGGGAGGCAGCAGUAGGGAAUCUUCCGCAAUGGGCGAAAGCUUGACGAAGCAACGCCGCGUGAGUGAUGAAGGUCUUCGGAUCGUAAAACUCUGUUAUUAGGGAAGAACAAAUGUGUAAGUAACUAUGCACGUCUUGACGGUACCUAAUCAGAAAGCCACGGCUAACUACGUG